rnacentral:rRNA from 1 species
CUGCCCUACGGGACGCAGCAGUGGGGGAUAUUGCACAAUGGGGGGAACCCUGAUGCAGCGACGCCGCGUGGGUGAAGGAGUAUUUCGGUAUGUAAAGCCCUAUCGGCAGGGAAGAAGAAAGACGGUACCUGACUAAGAAGCCCCGGCUAACUACGUGCCAGCAGCCGCGGUAAUACGUAGGGGGCAAGCGUUAUCCGGAUUUACUGGGUGUAAAGGGGGCGCAGACGGCAAUGCAAGCCAGGAGUGAAAGCCCGGGGCCCAACCCCGGGACUGCUCUUGGAACUGCAUGGCUGGAGUACAGGCGG